UACGGAGGGUGCAAGCGUUAUCCGGAUUUACUGGGUUUAAAGGGUGUGUAGGCGGACUUUUAAGUCUGAUGUGAAAGCCCACGGCUCAACCGUGGAAGGUCAUUGGAAACUGAAAGGCUUGAGUACAGAAGAGGAAAGCGGAAUUCCACGUGUAGCGGUGAAAUGCGUAGAGAUGUGGAGGAACACCAGUGGCGAAGGCGGCUUUCUGGUCUGUAACUGACGCUGAGGCGCGAAAGCGUGGGGAGCAAACAGG
rnacentral:rRNA from 1 species